ensembl:lncRNA
GCGGGGGCGUAAUCCCAAGGGCGGAAGCACCCCGGGUUUUUUCCUGUCUGGGUUGCCAUUCCUCGAGAACAGCAGGUUAAUAUUAAGGUUAGCUUAAUGGUUAAUACUAACGUUCAGGGAGGUGAAGGUUCAAGACGUUUUGUGACCGAAUGAAUUUCAAAGAGUAAGCCCUUUUGUAGCGGCGGAUGUGUAAAGCUGGCCCACAUUCACGUAAUGUAACGUUUGUGCUUUUAUUCUGGUAACUUCCUGUGUGACCGGAAGUGAAUGAUGUAACGGUAAAAAUUGGAUGUACAAAAAAGACGGAAGAAAACGGAAAACUAAUACUAACGGAGAAAAGGGAGAGAAGAUUAUGGUUAAAUUGUACGAAGACAAAUGGUUCUAGCUACAGUCGACAGGGGAACAAGCUCUUACGUUGGUUCGUUGUCUGAUUCACGGCAAGGAAUAAUAAAGGUCAUUCAACAACCAUCAGUUCUGGCCUUCUCAGUUCGACUGGAUGCUACAGUAAGAGCUUGACCGCCGCCAUUUUGCUACACCACGAGGGCUCAAGGUUUAACGGCAAUUCCCACAACGUCCAGCAGAUGGCAGAAGCAGGUCAGAGAAUAAAACGGUGAAAGGCUUAAGGAAAAUAAAGUUAAAAUGGAGGAUUUAGAAGAAGACAUUAAUGAACAGUUUGCAAACAAAGAACAAAUAUUAAAUGAGCCACAAGAUAAAGCUCAAAGUGACUCCGCGAUUCCAAGACGUUCAGAAAGAGCCAAGGUGCCAACCGAAAAAAUGCUAACUUAUCAGAAAGAAGAGAGAAGUAAAAAAGAAAAAAGACUAUUAACUCUUUAUGAACAAUGGAAAAUACGAGUGCGAGAAACAAGAGAAAGAUUAAAGUUGGACAUUUCAGAGAAAGAAAUGGCAGAUCUUGCAGAUGAUGUAGAGCAAAGAAAAGAUGAACUGCUAAAGCUGUACACUGAAAUGAGAAGUCACAUUGCACCUUCAUCGGACAUACGAAGAAAAACCGAUGCAUGUGAAGCAGUUACUCAUGACAUCGUGAAAGUCAUCCUGGAAAGAAUAAGCGGUGUAGAUGGAGAUUUUGAUGGAGAAUAUGAAAGAAAACGUCUACGCAGACUAUUAGAACAUGAUUAUGCCCAAUCCAUCUAUGGUUCAACUGCAGCAUCGAAACGUAGCCAACUGUCUUCAGCCUCACAUCUUGCUUCAAAACGAGCAGAGGCAGCAGCAGAACUAGCAGCAAAGGAGGCAGAGUACAAGAUUGUACAAGAGGAACAAAGACAGAAGGAAAAGAUAAAGGCUCUAGAAGAGGAGCAUAAGAAACAAAUGGCAGUUCAAACAUCAGAGUUGGAACGCCUGAAAGCCGAAAGGGAGGUGGAAGCCGCUCGCGCCAGGUUGGACGCCUACAACAGAGAGUUGUCGCAACUUGAUGAUGC